UACGGAAGGGGCUAGAGUUGUUCGGAAUUACUGGGCGUAAAGAGCGCGUAGGCGGCUUAACAAGUUGGGGGUGAAAUCCCAAAGCUCAACUCCGGAACUGCCUUCACAACUGGUAGGCUCGAGACCGUAAGAGGGGCGUGGAAUUACCAGUGUAGAGGUGAAAUUCGUAGAUAUUGGGAAGAACACCGGUGGCGAAGGCGGCGCCCCGGUCCGGUACUGACGCUGAGGCGCGAAAGCGUGGGGAGCAAACAGG
rnacentral:rRNA from 1 species